rnacentral:rRNA from 1 species
UACGGAGGGAGCUAGCGUUGUUCGGAAUUACUGGGCGUAAAGCGCGCGUAGGCGGCUUUGUAAGUUAGAGGUGAAAGCCUGGAGCUCAACUUCAGAAUUGCCUUUAAGACUGCAUCGCUUGAAUCCGGGAGAGGUGAGUGGAAUUCCGAGUGUAGAGGUGAAAUUCGUAGAUAUUCGGAAGAACACCAGUGGCGAAGGCGGCUCACUGGACCGGCAUUGACGCUGAGGUGCGAAGGCGUGGGGAGCGAACAGG